rnacentral:misc_RNA from 1 species
UCAAAGGAGCAGUUCCCAGGUUCUUCUGGAUCGCCCCUUUGGGUGCCAUGAACUUUGCAGGCUAUGAACUAGCAAGGAAAGCAAUGGACAAAAAUGAGGAGGUAGCAGCAGCUGACCAAUUGUCUCAAAAGAAAGCAGCAGCUGGUUCCGGUUAAAAUUUUUGGAUCCCUUCAUAAAGGCCGUGGUUUUGAGGCAUCUCUCCCUCUGGGUUUUCUUUUUCCCUCGCUAUAUUUUUAUAGAAAUCAGUUGGAUGGUUUUUCAUCUGUCG